rnacentral:rRNA from 1 species
UAGGGAAUCUUCGGCAAUGGACGAAAGUCUGACCGAGCAACGCCGCGUGAGUGAAGAAGGAUUUCGGAUCGUAAAACUCUGUUGUUAGAGAAGAACAAGGACGUUAGUAACUGAACGUCCCCUGACGGUAUCUAACCAGAAAGCCACGGCUAACUACGUGCCAGCAGCCGCGGUAAUACGUAGGCGGCAAGCGUUGUCCGGAUUUAUUGGGCGUAAAGCGAGCGCAGGCGGUUUCUUACGUCUGGUGUGAAAGCCCCCGGCUCAACCGGGGAGGGUCAUUGGAAACUGGGAGACUUGAGUGCAGAAGAGGAGAGUGGAAUUCCAUGUGUAGCGGUGAAAUGCGUAGAUAUAUGGAGGAACACCAGUGGCGAAGGCGGCUCUCUGGUCUGUAACUGACGCUGAGGCUCGAAAGCGUGGGGAGCAAACAGG